AUGGAACUAAGUAUUCCAACACCUGUUUUCUCUUAUUUGUACACCUGGUUGAGAAAAUGCUGCAAAAUGAACAUUCCAAAAGAGCAGCCUUCUUCAAUAACAACAAAAAUUCAAGAGUAUGAAGAAAUGCAUCCACCUGAAAAGGUUCUUGCUCUUUCACCCAGGCUAGAGUGCAGUGGCACAAUCUUUGAUCACUGUAACUUUGACCUCCCAGGCUCAAGAGAUCCUUCUGCCUCAAUCUACCAAGAACUUGAGACCAUAGGCCUACACUGCCACACCAGUAUUUCUGGGCAAGAUGGCAGAAUAGGAACAGAUCCAGUCUGCAGC
rnacentral:lncRNA from 1 species